rnacentral:lncRNA from 1 species
CAUACAUAUAUAUAAUCUUCCAAUGAGGAAUUUAAUAAGCUAAAAAGUAAGAAAAAAAUACAUUUUCUAAUUAAUGCAGUGUUUUUUAUCAUAUAAUUUAUUAAAAUUUUUGUUUUUUUAUCUCUAGGUUGUCCUUUACCAUAUUAAAAAUAAGAGAUCUCUCAUCAAAUAACAACAAAUAUAUAUGUAUGGGUACCGAUCUGGUUUUGGAUCUUGGAUAAGAUUGGAAUAUAUAAAUAUAUAUGUGUGUGUGUGUGUGUGUAAUGUUCUAAUUAAUGAUCUUUAACUAUAUUAAAGCUGGAAAUAAGUUAAAAAAAUAAAAACACAAACUCUAAUGCAUUGUAUUUUAUCAAGUAAUGUGUUGAAAUAUAUGUGUUUUUGUCUUUUAACUUAUCAUUGACUUUAAUAUGGUUAAGGAUUCCUGAUUGAAAAUUAUAGUUCUUCUCUAGUGCGGGUGCUUUCAUUUUCUUUUCAUGCGGACACACUUUUAAGCCGUACAAUUUAAUAUAGUCAGUUGUUAAUGCUAUUAACUUGCACGACUUUAUAGCAUAUGAAAAAUUAACUCUAUUAAGUCGUAUAGCUUAACAAUAUUUACGCAUUUAAAAAAGAUAAGGGUAGCCGCACCUGAGAAUGUGUGUGUGUGUAUAUAUUACGUAAUAUGAUUUAAUAGUGUAAUGACUUAUAUUAUUAAAGCAUAUGUAUUAAUAGCUUUCCCAAACUUUGAUAAAGUUCAAGAUUAUAGAGAAAUGUUUCAGUUCGGAAUUUUAAAGUGCGGGAAAGUGCGGUAAAGUUUUAAAACCGCAUGGUUUUAAAGGCUUAAAACUAUAAGCCUUUAAAGUCGUGCGAUUUUAAAGCUUUCCUGGAUUUUCCUGCACUUUAAGAUCCCUCACCAGAAAACUACUAUAUAUAGUCAUUAUCUAAUAAGAGUUCUCUUAAGUUAUUAAAGUAAGGAAUAAACUAAAAGACACGCAAAACACACACUCCAGUACACUAUACGAGAAAAUACUAUUGAAGUGCAUGUUUUUGUUGUCUUUUAGUUUAUCUCUUAUUUUAAUAACUUAAGAAUCCCUUUAAUAACUUAAGAAAAAGACUAUAUAUAUAUAUAGUCUAUUUCUAGUGAGAAUAUCCUUACUUUGUGUAUACUAAAAUAUUAAGAAACACAUAUUUCAAUAUGUUAAAAAUUAAUUUCUUUUUAUUUAUUAGUAUAUUGAAAUUUUUGUUUUUCUUGUCUAUUAAACAGUUCAAUAUGUAUAUAUAUAUAUAUAUAUAAACAAGACCGUGAAAUAUUAUUAAUCUUUGUCUGGUUAGUGAAAACUAUCUUUUUGUUUUGACUUAUUGAACCCGAAUGAAGUAGCAUAGAGAUCCUCUAUUAAUCUAUCGCUAUCAUCGAAUUCAAUAAAAUUAAGGGAAAUUAUCACUGCACCACCUCUUUUUUGCCUUACGUUCAUCCAACCACUAAACAAUUCUAACAUGUUAUCUGCACCACCUUUUUUUUUUAAAUUUGUAUCAAUUAGCCACUU